rnacentral:lncRNA from 1 species
CUCAUUUGUUCUUUUUUGUGACACAUCAAACCAUUAUACCACACAUUUCCUCUUUAAAACCACUCAUACAGUACUGUACAUGCUGCCAUAAGGUACCAUUUACACCCAGCAGUUCAAAGAGACACAUCUGCUCUACUGAUCAAUAAAAUGGCAGAUAUCUAUGGGAAUAAUGAUUUUCUCCACAUAGAAGCUCAGAACCAAUUCCAGACUGGGAAAACACAGCUACCAUCAGGGCAUCAGUGUUGGGAUGAUGAAGAAAGUGAUGCAGACUAUGAAAACAUUGAAUACACCCUAGAAAUGAAGGAAACCAGCCAAACCCAAGAGAGGAGAAGUCAGGACAACUCAGAGAAAAGAACAGAAGAGUUUAAAUCCAGCACACCUCCAGCUGCUGCUGUUGCUGGGACCAAGUCCAUCAUUCUGCUGUAUGUCCUGCUGUUGAUGGUCACUGUAGGCUGGGUAGUCUUCAUCUCACUGGCCUUCAUUAAGUACUCCGCACUAACCGAAGAAAUUCAGCACCUCCGAAAGAGUCAAGCUGCCUUGAAAGAGAGCAACUCAGCACUAAUUGAAGAAAUUCAGCACCUCCGAAAGAGUCAAGCUGCCUUGAAAGAGAGCAGUAAGAUAUCAGUUUCAAAUGUAAUUGCUGUCUCCCUUUGCAUCCUUGUAAGGAACAUUAUUUUUUCCUAG